UACAGAGGUCCCAAGCGUUGUUCGGAUUCACUGGGCGUAAAGGGUGCGUAGGCGGUCGGGUAAGUCUGACGUGAAAUCUUCAAGCUCAACUUGGAAACUGCGUCGGAUACUAUUCGGCUCGAGGAAUGGAGGGGAGACUGGAAUACUUGGUGUAGCAGUGAAAUGCGUAGAUAUCAAGUGGAACACCAGUGGCGAAGGCG
rnacentral:rRNA from 1 species